GCGGAGGAAAAGAAAGCAACAGCGAUAGCCCUAGUAACGGCGAGUGAAGCGGCUACAGCUCAAAUUUGAAAUCUGGCCCUCUUUGGGGGUCCGAGUUGUAAUUUGCAGAGGAUGCUUUGGCAUUGGCGGCGGUCUAAGUUCCCUGGAACAGGACAUCGCAGAGGGUGAGAAUCCCGUACGUGGGCGCCUGCCUUUGCCGUGUAAAGCUCCUUCGACGAGUCGAGUUGUUUGGGAAUGCAGCUCUAAAUGGGAGGUAAAUUUCUCCUAAAGCUAAAUACCGGCCAGAGACCGAUAGCGCACAAGUAGAGUGAUCGAAAGAUGAAAAGUACUUUGGAAAGAGAGUCAAAUAGCACGUGAAAUUGUUGAAAGGGAAGCGCUUGCAGCCAGACUUGCCCGCAGUUGCUCACCUAGGCUUUCGCCUGGGGCACUCUUCUGCGGGCAGGCCAGCAUCAGUUUGGGCGGUCGGACAAAGGCCUCUGUCAUGUACCACCCUUCGGGGUGGCCUUAUAGGGGAGGCGUAAUGCGACCAGCCCGGACUGAGGUCCGCGCAUCUGCUAGGAUGCUGGCGUAAUGGCUGUAAGCGGCCCGUCUUGAAACACGGACCAAGGAGUCUAACAUCUAUGCGAGUGUUUGGGUGUCAAGCCCGGGCGCGUAAUGAAAGUGAACGGAGGUGGGAACCCCUCGGGGUGCACCAUCGACCGAUCCUGAUGUCUUCGGAUGGAUUUGAGUAAGAGCAUAGCUGUUGGGACCCGAAAGAUGGUGAACUAUGCUUGAAUAGGGUGAAGCCAGAGGAAACUCUGGUGGAGGCUCGCAGCGGUUCUGACGUGCAAAUCGAUCGUCAAAUUUGGGC
rnacentral:sRNA from 1 species